AUGGCGCCUCAGACCGGCGACGAGGGGGACGUGGAUCUGAGGGUGCAAGCCAUCCUCGUCUGGUCCCUCGGCUCGCCACGCAAAUCCCCAGACUCAGUCUGCAGUCCUGGUUCCGUCCCGCGUACGACGCGCUCUCCGAACUCACCCAAAGGCCAAAGUUCCCCGCCUCCACGUGAGAGCCCGCGCCGCCGUGACCCGGAAGUCAAUGUCGACUCGCCGGCCCGUCCCCGCAAGAGACGGCUUCUUCCGGGUCGCGGCCUUUCUGGGCGCUCGGUUGCCGUGGAAACGGCGGCCAUGACCGCGGCCAUGGCGGCGCCCGGACCUGUGGGCCGCACCGCCCAGCGCUUGGAAGGGACAGUCUCCAACGAGUCGUCCAUUACUGCCAGGACGCAGGUGCCCGUAGUGUCUCCUGAGUCCCUCGAUCUGCCCGUCUCGCCGGUGCAGGUUUCGGAGCUACCUAGCAAGAACCUGUGGGAGCAGAUCUGCGAGGAGUAUGAAGCUGAGCUUCCUCCCUUUCCUGAAGGAUAUAAAGUCAAACAAGAUGCUGUGGUUACUGAGUUGCCAUUGGAGGAAAUGGUUUUCCAUGGCUUCAACGCAGAACACCUUUAUCCAGUUCCUCGUUUAACCGUGGCCUCACAAGCAUCCUGUUCUCAAGCGAAACGGGAAACAGUUGACCCAAAAACAUGUUCCCCCAAAGAGUUUUUGGAAAUGUUCAUCUUUCCAGUUCUGCUGCCCGGAAUGGCUAGCCUGCUUCACCAAGCAAAGAAAGAAAAGUGUUUUGAGAGGAAAAGAACCAAAUUCAUUGCCUGUGAUUUUCUGACUGAAUGGUUAUACAAUCAAAAUCCAAAGAGGAUAGGGGAGCCGUUCACAGAAUUCUUCUCCAUUCCAUUUGUGGAAGAGUGGCUGAAACUGCACCCACGGCCGGCAAUCCCGCUCUCCCUCCUGCUGACAGAAUCGGAAGCAGCACUCUGUAUCCAGUCCUUCUGGAGAGCCUACCUGGUUCGCUGCGAUCCUGAGAUACAAGAAUUGCGUCAGUGGCAGAAGAAGCUGCGAGAGGACAAGCAUAUUCGCCAGCGAGUCAAAAUCUUCUGGGCCAAACAAGAACAAAAAGUGAAAUGCAAAAUGGAGGAUGAGGAAGAGGCUGCAGCUAAGACUCCACAACCUUAA
rnacentral:lncRNA from 1 species